ACAGACAUCACAAAUAAGACAACACAAUACAUGAAAAUAAAAUAUCAACAGAACAAACAAUAAAAUUAUGGGAGACAAAAAAGGGAUGUUGUUGUUGCGGGCGACAAUUUAGGGAAAAAAAAAAAAAAAAAAAAAAAAAAAGGAGAGACUUGUCACUCAGAGGGAUGAUUUAUAAACGUUUGCCAAAUAGAACCAUCCACCUACAAAUUAAUUUUGUUUAAGUUAAUGAAUUUAACAAGGGAUUUUAAAGUGGAAGGGUUAUUACAAUUAAGUACACACUUAAUGUUAGUAGGGAGUGGGAAUUUUUUUGGAAGAAAAUCAAACAAGGAAGAGCCAAUUUUGGGACAGUUAAAAAAUAUAUGAUUGGUUGAUCCCUCAUCUAAGCCGCACUCACAUAGGGAAUUAUCUUUAAUCCGCAUUUUUGCAAGGUGAACCGGUGUACAAGCAUGUCCAAGACGCAAGCGACAGAUAAUGGAAACAGUCCUUUUAGAUAAGUGGUGAUAUUUAAAGAACCAGGGUCUUGUGGGAAUGCUCUGUUGGAUGUCUGCAUAAUAUCUACCAGCCAAUCGUUUAGACUUUUCCCAAUGAGUAUUCCAUGAUUUGUAAAGGUGACUGCGUGGCAGGGAGGAAGCGUCAUGUGCAUAUAACUUGUAAUGUUCCAACGAGCCAGUGGUUAUAGCAAUUUUGGCGGAUGAGUCUACUGUUUCAUUACCAGGAAUUCCUCGAUGACUUGGGAUCCAGGCCAAAACGACGUUUAAAUUCAGCUGAUUACACUGAUAUAGGGCUUCUCGAAUUUUGAAAAUUAUUGGAAAUUUGGAUUUGGAUUUGAAGGGGUUGGCUAAAAUGGAUUGAAGACAGCUUAGAGAAUCGGUGAAAAUUAGAGUGUUGUUGAGUUGAUGAGAGAUAAUGUAGCGAAUAGCUUCAAGUAUAGCAACAGAUUCUCCGGUGAACACUGAUGUAACAGGAGGACACUUAAAAUUCAAUGUUAUUUUGUAUGCUGGGAUCCAUACUGCAGCACCUGUGCAUCCACCUUCGUCCAGCUUAGAAGCAUCAGUAUAUAUCUUGAGCCAGCCUUGCCAGUGUUCAGAGACAAUAUUGAUAAAUUCUUGGCCUGCAGAACAUGAAUCUUUAGUUAUACCAAAGUUUAAAAUAAUCGAGGGAUGGUAAAGUAAAGAUUCAAAGCUGUUAGAGAAAAGGGGAUUCAAUGUCAUGUUUUCAAUCGGAGUGGGGAGACGGUUAAAUUUCUGGUAACUUAACAAGAUACAUGGUAAACUCCGGGAGAGGUCAUUGUUGAUCAGUGAAGAGAGGAGGAUUAAUUUGUCAUUUAAUGGGGAAUGGUAUCGCCGUUCAAUGAAAUAUCUAAAUUUGGAAUGGAACGUUUUCUAGUGAAGACAACGCAACUACAUUUUUGAACAGAAAUUGAGAGUCCAUGAUCUGUCAUCCAGGAGUUAAGAUGAGACGUACCAGUUUCUCCGGGAUACUCAGCAAGUGCAAUUUUUGCCUGAGCAAUGGGAGCAAAACAUUAUCAUACGCGGAGGCUAUGUCCAGGAAAACACCAACAAGGAAUUCUUUAUUUUGGAAAGCUACUCGAAUAUCGGUUGUCAAGAUGCUCAAACUAUCAAGAGUGCUCAGCCCUUUACGGAAGCCAAAUUGGGACUUAGGCAAGAUGUUGUUGGAUUCUAAGAACCAUUCUAAGCGGUUUUUAACCAUGUGCUCCAUUAUUUUGAGAAGGACGGAAGAGAGAGCUAUAGGACGGUAGGAAUUGUGGUCUGAAGGUUCUUUUCCUGGUUUGGGGAUUGGAAUAACUAUCUGUUGUUUCCAAGAUUCCGGAAGAGAACCUAGAUCAUGAAAAGAGUUAAUGGUGUCAAGAAAGUAAUGUUUGGCUUUUUCGGGGGAUUUUAAUAUAAAAGAGUAUGGGAUUCCAUCUACCCCUGGGGAAGAAUCCUUUAAACCGUCAAGAGCCAAUGACAGUUCUUCAAAUGAAAAGGGCCGAUCGAGGUUGUUUGUAUGAGGAAGAAAACUACUGGGAGAAGGGAAGCUAUCCAUGAAAGGAACAAAAGGAGGGGCCAAUUUGUCAGCGAAAGCAUUUAACCAUGCUGAGGGAUCAUUUGAUGGAGCAUUAAUUGGUAAUAAAGACCUACGGUAUCUUUUGAUAUGCUUCCAAACUAUUGAGGAAGGAGUUCUUGGAGACAUAGUCUCGCAGAACUUAAUCCAGCCCUUUCUCUUCUUUUUGGCCAAGAAUUUUCUGG